UACCAGCACCCCGAGUGGUCGGGACGUUUAUUGGGCCUAAAGCAUCCGUAGCCGGUUCUGCAAGUCUUCCGUUAAAUCCAGCUGCUCAACAGAUGGGCCGCGGAGGAUACUACAGAGCUAGGAGGCAGGAGAGGCAAGCGGUACUCAGUGGGUAGGGGUAAAAUCCGUUGAUCCAUUGAAGACCACCAGUGGCGAAGGCGGCUUGCCAGAAUGCGCUCGACGGUGAGGGAUGAAAGCUGGGGGAGCAAACAGG
rnacentral:rRNA from 1 species